UUGAUAAACAUUUGAGUGAGUGGCGGACGGGUGAGUAACACGUGGGUAACCUGCCUAAGUGGGGAUAACAUUUGGAAACAGAUGCUAAUACCGCAUAAAACCUAACACCGCAUGGUGUAGGGUUGAAAGAUGGUUUCGGCUAUCACUUUAGGAUGGACCCGCGGUGCAUUAGUUAGUUGGUGAGGUAAAGGCUCACCAAGACCGUGAUGCAUAGCCGACCUGAGAGGUAAUCGGCCACACUGGGACUGAGACACGGCCCAGACUCCUACGGGAGGCAGCAGUAGGGAAUCUUCCACAAUGGACGAAAGUCUGAUGGAGCAACGCCGCGUGAGUGAAGAAGGUUUUCGGAUCGUAAAACUCUGUUGUUGGAGAAGAAUGUAUCUGAUAGUAACUGAUCAGGUAGUGACGGUAUCCAACCAGAAAGCCACGGCUAACUACGUG
rnacentral:rRNA from 1 species